GGCCGAGGACUAAUAUUGUGUAGGUAUUCACAUCCGGCCUUGACCACUUCCAUUUCUCAAAGGACAGACCUUUCUGAUUAACAUCUGUGCAUUAAAUUGAAUUUUGACAAUGAAAUUAAAUCAAUUAUGAAGAGCUAAAACCUAUGCAUAUAUAGUAAGCAAUCAGUGGACAAAAGAAAUACAUGGAGUAUAUAUAGCAAACAAUCAGUGAACAAUAGAAAUCGCAUAUAUUAACACUGAAGCCGC